GGAGGGGUGGCCGAGUGGCUUAAGGCGCCGGUUUGCUAAACCGGUGUAGGGAGUAAUCCUUACCGAGGGUUCGAAUCCCUCCCCCUCCGCCA
rnacentral:tRNA from 1 species